UCUCGUGAUUUUCAGCAGCAGGGCUACACCCGUUCCCAUUCCGAACACGGCAGUUAAGCCUGCUAGCACCGAUGAUAGCCUUUGGGCAAAAGUAGGUGAUCGCGAGAA
rnacentral:rRNA from 1 species